rnacentral:rRNA from 1 species
CCUACGGGUGGCAGCAGUAGGGAAUAUUGCUCAAUGGUGGGAACACUGAAGCAGCAACGCCGCGUGGAGGAUGAAGGUUUUCGGAUUGUUAACUCCUUUUGUUAGGGAAGAUAAUGACGGUAUCUAACGAAUAAGCACCGGCUAAGUCCGUGCCAGCAGCCGCGGUAAUACGGAGGGUGCAAGCGUUACUCGGAAUCACCGGGCGGAAAGAGCGCGUAGGGGGGAUAGCAAGUCAGAUGGGAAAACCUAUGGCUUGACCAUAGAACUGGAUGUUAAACUCGUAUUCUCGAGGAUGGGAGGGGUAAGUGGAAUUGUUGGGGGAGGGGGAGAAUCCGUAGGAAUCAAGGGGAAUACUCAUU